rnacentral:rRNA from 1 species
CCUACGGGAGGCUGCAGUAGGGAAUCUUCCACAAUGGACGAAAGUCUGAUGGAGCAACGCCGCGUGAGUGAAGAAGGGUUUCGGCUCGUAAAGCUCUGUUGGUAGUGAAGAAAGAUAGAGGUAGUAACUGGCCUUUAUUUGACGGUAAUUACUUAGAAAGUCACGGCUAACUACGUGCCAGCAGCCGCGGUAAUACGUAGGUGGCAAGCGUUGUCCGGAUUUAUUGGGCGUAAAGCGAGUGCAGGCGGUUCAAUAAGUCUGAUGUGAAAGCCUUCGGCUCAACCGGAGAAUUGCAUCAGAAACUGUUGAACUGGAGUGCAGAAGAGGAGAGUGGAACACCAUGUGUAGCUGUGGAAUGCGUAGAUAUAUGGAAGAACACCAGUGGCGAAGGCGGCUCUCUGGUCUGCAACUGACGCUGAGGCUCGAAAGCAUGGGUAGCGAACAGGAUUAGAUACCCCAGUAGUC